rnacentral:lncRNA from 1 species
UUGUGGCAGUAUUUUGCAUGCUUUAUUCAUACAUGGAAAAGAGUAGGUGUGCAAGGCAGAGUACAUAUCUGUGUGCUGGCUUUGAAUUUACAUUGGGGACAUUUCAACUUCUGAAUGGUCAUAGAAAGCGUAUAUUAAAAAGGCAACAUUUAUUAUUAUCAUUUCUUUUUUAUAUUAUUUUUUAAUUUGCUAUGAGGCACAGAAAACAGAUGAAAAGCUGUCAAGCUGUAAAAUCUUCCUUUUUUUCUCAAGAAGAUACAAACUGCCCAUAUAACAAAGGGAUGAAGUGUUUCUCUAUUACCACUGCAUACUUUAGGCUAAACCCCUUUCAAUAGUUUAUUUUAACUAAAAUUGCAGAAUAAAUGAAGAAAGCAUAAUUUUAUUGUAACAUUCAGCAUUUAAUUAGAAAGAGAAUUGUGGGUUCUGCGAUUAGCAUUAGUACAUUCAUAGAGAUGUGCAAGAAAGACCUUGCAUUCUCACAGAAUGGACAUUUGCUUCUGCCCCACAUGCAAAAGCUCAUAGGGAGCCUGUUGUCCAUCACACCCUGCUAGCACAGUCACAGCCAUUCUCACAUGGAGAGUGAUCCUUCUAGUAAAGGGGCAGCCAGAUCAGCUGGAAGAAAUUUUUUCCAUUAUUUGAAUGCAUCAUUAAUUCUUAAUGUUUCAAAUACUCACUGGAGUAUGACAGAGAACAUCAGUCACUUCCAUCAAGAUUGGAAUUCAUGGGAGCAAAAGUCCUUUACUAACAACUAAAACAUUGCUGGGAUAACACUGGAAACACUUGUUCCUAUUUCCACAGGCUCAGCAAUACUUCAGCUGGCCUUUUUAUGAAGACCAGCUGAGGGUAUGAUAUGUACUAGUAGUCUGUACAGAAAUCACACUUCCACUGGAACAUGCCAGUUCAAGACUAGUUUUAUCUCAGCUCUUUACUUGGGAGAUUUUACACCUGGGAGCAGUGAAAAGGAUGCUUUUAAAUUGUUAUAUAUCAAACAGCUACAAAAUUAAUUGCAGUUCAUAUUGUUAAAUUUUGCUAAUCAGUUAUCUUCUGCCUAAAAUGUUACUAUUUUAAAAAAAUGUGUUUAUUGCAUUAAAAAAAAAAGCUAGAAAUAAAAAAUCAACUUCUUCCUUGCCCAGAUUUUUAUAAUAAAAAAAUGUUUUUAAUUUUCUGGUUUAUGUAACUAUUUCAAAGUUGGUGGAAGAGGCUAUGAUAUCUGCAACAAGUAUAAAUUUCAAGAAUGCUUUUAUUUUGUGGUAAAAGAAUACUUUAUUGAAAAAAUAACACACUUAAUAAAGAAGCUAAGGAAAAUUGUUUUUCCUUGACACUGAUGACCUCUAAAACUUCCUGAAAUUGAUUAAAUAUUAUCAUCAGUCCAGCCACCUCCAGAUAAAAUGAAAUAAUGAUUUGUGUGCAAGCAGGUUACAAGAGACUGAAUGGAAAAGCCUGAAAAGAGAGCAAAGUAAUGACAUGACUGGCUUGAGAAGAUAGAGAAAAUAAUGAAUUCCAAACAAGCAAUAGGGAUUAUCCAUCACUGAGUGCUCAGUUUGCAAUUGCUCUGUGAUUUAGGCACUUCUCUUGAAUUAAUUACUGAAGAAAUGAAUGUAACGGUGUAUCUGCUUUCCCCUGUUUGAAUUGAAAAGGGAAGUGUGCAGAAAAGCACAUGGUGGGUGUACAUAGGCUCACAACCCUUCUCCUGCAGGUGCAGAAUCAUGUUUCACAGAGACAUCCUCCUGGUUAGUGUUUGGGGUUGGGACAAGAUGCCCACAUCAGACCUUCCCCAAAAAAUUUUCCAGGGCAAAUCCAGGUUAUGGGUCCUGUAAAAGGACAUCCCUCCUUUUAACUACACUCAGUGGCAUUCAUAUCUUCCAGAAAACAAUCUAGAGCAAGCUUUCCAGUGGAAAUGUUCUGAAAAUACCACAUGACAGGAUGAAAACAUUUCUGCCACAUUAUAUUUCUUAUCUGUUAAAUCUACUGUAGCCAGAUCAAUGCAAGUAUACUAAGUGGCAUGGGGAAAAGUUGGAGGUACACAAGGUUUAUAUUGUGCCUGUUAGAUUUCAAAUGUAAAGCAAGAGCAAAAAACAUUGAGGAUUUUAAGGAAAGGCCUUUGCCAUUGAGGUGGGUAAAGUGAUCAAAAGUGACAGAACACACACAGGGACAGGCCUUUCCUGAAACACCAGAUCCUGAAUGCACAAUGUCACCCAAAAGGUAACAUCGAUUCACAGGAUUACUUGAUUCUCUCCCUUCUACUUUUCAGUUUUGGAGUUUUCUUUCAAUUAUUGUUGGCAUGAGUAGUGUGUUAUCAAAGCCAGAUGAUUCAGGAAAUAAAGGGAAUGCUUAGAUAAUGUCUGGACAAUGCUUGUGACUUGUACAGUUGCUUAUUUUAAAGGAACAAACAUGAUGGCAAAAAGAGGGGUAGGCAGGGGAGGUCCCAGUGUAGUAUGGAUCCAGGUCCAGAAGAGUCACUUUGCAGCCCCUUUUGUAUCAUUACAGUUAAUUUUUUAAACAUACCAAGAUUAUGUUAAGUACAUAAGGAAAAAAAAAAAAAAAAAACCAAAACCAAAAACCCUGAGAUGGCACUAUUUAUGAGAAGAUUUUAUUUUCUUUUUUGUGUUUGUACACAUCCAAGAUCUUUUCUACCAGAGGAGAGUCAUGCAACACAUGUCUCUUAACUGCUCAUUUUCUUUCUUUCUUUCCUCUCUGGUUCUUUGUCCUUCUUGCUAAACUGUGAAUGGCCCUGUUGUGCAACUCUGUGGACUCAGAAAUGUGAAUGAAUUUCACAGUUGUAGACAUUUUCACAGAAGUACAGUCACAGUUCCACUGUCAAGGCUACACUGAACCCAGAGUAGGUUCAUUAAACAUAUAAAGCUGCUCCUUAUCCUCCCUAUAAUGAUUGUUUGGGCAUUAUAAGGGGUGGGAGAAAAAAAGUGCAUAAAUUUUUGAUGAUGGGGUGGUUAACAGCUGGAGCAGAUAACUGAAAGAAACCAUUCUCUACUUUAUCCUUUUCCCUCCACAAGCCUUCUGAUCAAGGCUUGAUGCCUUACUGAGGGAUCUGUUGCUGUCACACACGAACUAGCAGGCUCAGCACUAAAUUGAGGAGGUGAAAUGCAAUGGCUGUAAUAGAAAGGUGCUUAAAGUACUUGAUGAAAGAUCUCCCUCCUACCCUUUCAUUCAGGGUAUUAACAGAAUAUAGGCAAUAUUGUGGAGGAUUUCAACUCAGUCCUCUAUUAGCCUAUGAAUAAUUUAAAAAUUGAAUCCUUUAGAAAUGUGGCAUUUGGUGCAAUUCUUGUCUCAAAUAGCUUAGAGAAACAGUUUAUCAGUCUUCUAAUUUAGUAUUAAAGUUUAGUAAAAUUUCAAAGAGUUGCACACUAGAGGAAAAUAGCUUUUAUGUCUAAUUGCUGAGAUUAAUUUACAGUUAUCAGUUUAUUAGGAAUUUAAGUUUGUGGUACAAUCCUGAGUUCCAUUAAUUGCUAUACUUGUUCAGUUUUAUAUCCCUAAAAACCUAUGUUAGAAUGUCACAUUUGGGUUCAAAAGUCACACAGUUUACAGUUUGAAGCUGCAAGAGUAAUAACCACAUCUUUCAGAUAGCACAUCCUCACCUUUUUUUGCAAAGGCACUCCUCAGGUGAGAAUCACAGAAUGUCUCCCAAAAAAGCCUCAUAUUGCAGGGAAAUUAUAUUAUAAAAGUGGAAAAAAAACCCCACCAAUAAUGGAAGCAAAGGUAAGGCUAUACAGCAGUGACUUAUAGUAAAAUACAUUAGAGAGAUAAUGCAUUUAUUUAAACCAAAUAAAUUAUAAACCUUGGAACUUCUAGGGUCAAAUUAAAUGCAACAAGAAAUCCAAACAAAGCACAGAGAAAUGAAGAGUCAAACAUCUAAACAAACUUAAUCAUGGUUUGAGAAAACAUCUUUUAAAUCUAACUAGCUAGCAGCCACAUUUGUUUGCCUGAUAUGUGAUGUUUGUGUAUAGAUAUUAAUACACUUGUGCAUUUGAAGAUGAAUGAUACCUUUCUACUUCAUGGUGUGGAACUGAAAGUUCAUGAGAAGUCUCUCUCUGUUCUGCAGGAAGACAAAAAAAACACAACAAGCCCUUAAAAAUUUCUUAAUCAUCUCCAAGUCCACAAAUGUAGAACUAUCUCAGUACAAACUGCACAGUUUUGCUUGGUUACAGUCACCACAGUAACACCCAUGUAGCUGUUAAACAGCUCAUCUUAUGGGAAAAGAAGAGGAUAAAGCAUAAAUCAGAAAGCAAUAUACAUACCAGAUACUGCAAUGCAUCACAGGAGUGUCAGUGGCACCAUAUGGACUCUGACAAUUGGUCAGUGCAACAAGCAUGCCAGAGACUACAGCUUCUGGCUCCAGACUGGUACCUCUGCAAAUCCAGAGGGGGAAGAGUUAGAGAACAUUUGGAAAUUAAAGCCUCUGUGACAGGAGCAGGUGCAUGGGGAUGUGAGGACAUUCCUGAGCUGUCAGUAGGGCCAUGCCUCUCUGUCCUGCUGAGGAGAGGGAGACACAAGCAACUGGGCUGAUGGACCAAGGGCACAGCUAGUGAGAAGCCAGCCAGACCCAGCUGUAUCAAACAUUAUCUAUCCAAGAAACAAUGUUAAAAUUGUUAAGCAGGUCAUGAGGACACAUUAGGACAGCACAGAAAUGCCACCACAAACUUCACAGAGUUCACCCAAUAGAAAUGGUCAUUGUGCCAAGAGGUGGUAAGGAAGGGUGUUCAUAGGAACACCAGAUUUUAGUACCAGGAACACCAGGUUUUGUCAGCUGGAACAAGGCUUGUAGAGAAAGCUCAAACCCAACCCCCUGCUGAGUCAUUAGCAGCAGUGCUUUCUCUGAAUGACUCUAAUAAUUUGCUGGGUGCUCAUGGUGGAGAUGUAAUACUAUUAAUUACAGAGGUGCUGGUUGUAGCUCCCAUAGGCAAAACAGAUGUUGUAUGUUACACUCUGUGCACAUUAUACUGAAAAAGCAAAGUAUAUUAUCCCCAAACUUAAAGCACUACCUGAGUAAAAUAUUCACAUGAUAAGAGUUUACCAGACUUCUGCUAACUAUUUCCUGGUACAAGAGUCAGACCAUGUAAUCUGAACUUGGUUCAGUGGCCAAUCCUAUUUUGCAUUAAUAUCCCAAAGGCACACAGAGACAGAAGCCUUGCUCUGCUGGGAAUAAAAAGAAAAAAAAAGAAAAAAAAAGAAAAAAAAAAAAAA